ensembl:lncRNA
GCCCCAGGGGAACGAAUGUGUGGAAGCUGCAGCGGAGCCUUCUGCUCAAGAGUAAAGGACCCGUCUGAAACCUACAAGAACAGAAGAGCCAUGUGACCGGAUCCCCAGUUUGGCAGAGGAGACAUGUGAGAGGACGGAAGGUUUUGGCCGAAAAGACAUCUGGCAGGGAACAGAGAGAACAGGUGUGGCAGAGAGAACGUCUGAGAAGCUUGCACGAUUCGCAGAAGGAGCAUCGGUAGAAGAUUGCCUGUUUGCCCAAAGGAACGUCAAGUUCCAAAGAAGAACAUCUGAGAAGAUUCAGUGUUUGGCAGAAGAAACAUCUGUCAGACGUGAACAUACGACAGAAGGGCCAUCCAGGAAGUUUGCACACUGGGCAGAAGGAAGGCUUAAGAACAUUGCAUGGACAGCAGAAGGAGUGCUUCUGGAGAUUGCCUGGUGGGCGGCAGGAACACCUGAGAGGACAUCAUGGCGGACAGUGGAAAUGAGAGUCCAGUGUUCUCAGAGAAAGAUGAUGGAGCUGCUAAACCUUGCCCAUUUUGAUCCGUUAUGUGAGGCAUGCCUUUUGCCUUCUCUCAUGAUUGUGAAGUGUCCCCAGCCAUGUGGAACUGACACAUAUUGCUUGUCUCUGAACUUCUCAGCUGCCUGCACAUCUUCCUGUUUUUCAGCUGCAGUUAGGGUUUGUCUGAGGAGCAGCAUAACAUUCCUCCAUGCGAGGUCCAACACCUGAGUUAAAUUUUGGAAAGCUUCUUUUAACCUAUCAGGGUCAUUCGAAAACCAGCCGAAUUCUCCUUAUCUGCCUGUGGUUCUACAAUGAGAAGGGAACUGGAACCUUGGUGACAUCAUCUCCAUUAGGUAUUUCCUUCUGUAGUAAGUGUCAGACCGUGGAAUGAGGAGUGAUGACGCUGGAGGGGCUGACAUUGCAUUUGGAAGGGGACGUGAAUAAGGGGGACCAUGAGGAGCCUGAACACUAACUGCCUUCAAUGUUUUUCCCAGAACUUGUUUGGCUACUGUUGGGGAGUUAUUUCCUUUGGGCCUGCCUGAUAUGGCUAUUAAAAGAGCUGUGUUGAUUGUGCAGUGCUUACAAGGGUCUAGUAACCUUUGGUUCUCCAUUGGUGAUUUUUUUUUUUUUUUUUUUUGACUUUGUAAACCUGUGUGACCUGUGUGGCUCCUCAAUAGAUAGAUCUUGGAAAAUAGUAUGUAAUAGUUGUAUUUGGGCAAGGCCCCUUUAAUGGAGACAGUGUACUGAGUUGAGCUCUUUAUUUUGCUAUUAUGGCCUUGACUAAUGUAUUUAUUCUUAGGCAGUGAUUCUGGUUAACUUUCAGACAUAAAAUGUUACUAUUUAAGUAACAUGUUAAUUGGAGGCAGAAUAGGUGCCUUAAAAUAAUGUGGAAUGAAAGGUGGUUUUCCUGCUCAUGGGACAGUAUUGGGGCUAAAACUUCAUUUUGGAGGACAUUUUCCUCCUCAUUGUUGAGUUUUCCCAUUCACAGAAGAAACAUAAAGACUGGUCUCUAGUAGAGGGUGCAAAAGUGAGAAUUCAGAAACUAGAAUGUUUCAGCAAAGAACUGACAAGGUGUCUCAUGGAGAGGAUUCUAAUUGCAUUAGGUGGUACUGUUGACCUUGAGAUACCAUGUGCUCUACAGACCAAGGGCAGAGAGAGAGAGAGAGAGAGGUUCACUGGGUGGGGUGGGUGAGACCCUCUGUUUCUAGAAAAUCACAAAAACGGCACUCCCUUGAUCUAUAUUCCCAGUUACCAGAGCGUUUCCAAAUCUUGCUUAACAGGAUUAUUUCCCUGAGCUUUGAAAAUUUCUGUAGCAUUGCACACACACAGUGGAGAAGAGACAUGGUUAUCUUGGACAGGAAAGGAGGAAAAUUACAGUAGGAAGGACUCCAAGAUCCUGUUGCUGGUGCCCAUCAGGCAGUUGGGGAGGGUGGAGUUAGUCUAGAAGCCUUUGGGUAACAGUGGCGUGUUGUCCUGGAAAGGAAGCAUUAGUUGCCUCUGGACCUCUUCCAGACCCACAGGACAUCUAGGCUCUCUGUCAAAACAGAGUCAAUCUUCCCGGCACUUUGAGGGCCCUGGGGGAUUCACUAAGUUUUCUCUAUUGUCUUAGUAUUGAGAAUGGUGGCCACCCUAAAGAUUUUUUUAAAUUUGCUAUCAGUCGCCCAGUUUUUAGUUUAUAAUUUUAAAAUUGAAGGCAGAAGGUUUCAAAAUGAAAGUAAAGGUUUAGGGUCCACUCCUUUACUCACCUUUCUGAUGAAUCUACCUUGGAUCCCCAACCAGCCCCCACAAUGAAAUGGUGUUAUUGUCUGUGGUAAAUAUCUGAGAUUCAUUGUCUCACAGACCUGGAAAACUAGGACACAGACACUGAGAGUGAGGCCCGGAGCAGAAGUUUAAUAGGUGAAAAAAAGAGAAAAGCUCUCUUGCUACAGAGAAGGGUCCCAGAGAAAUGGAUCGCUGGUUCUGCAGUGAAGUGCAAAGGUCUUUAUAGAUGAGCUUGAAGUGGGGGUGUCUGAUUUACAUAAGACACAAAAGAUUGGUUGGACCAGGUAUACCCUUUGCAUGGGGCAUGAAAAGCUGGAUGUCCCCACCAUAACCUUUCAUUAUGCAAAUGGCUUUUCUGCCUGGCUGGUGUUGAAUUGUCCUUUUUUCUUUUCCUUCUUUUUCACUGUAAACGUAGUAACAAUAAAAGGGAAGAUGGAGCCUCUGUGUUGGACAUGCGUGGCCACCAAGUAGCUCUUUUCUAUUGGCGCAGCUACUAGGGUCCUAAAUCAUUUAUUUCUACCUCCUGUAUCAGUGGCAACAGAUCUGUAUGGGUCUGCAGCAACCUCAAUUCUUGUCUUCUAAGAAGAAAGAAUUUGGCUGACAAGAGUAAGCCAGAGGGAGAGACCUAGGAAAGUUUUAAAACAGGAGUGAAAGUUUAUUAAACAGCAUCAGAAUAAGAGCCAAAGGUAAUAAAGUACCCCUGGAAGUGGGCCAAGUGGGUGACCUGAGAGAUCAAGUGCAUGGUUUGAUUUUUGACUUGGGGUCUUAUAGGUUAGCAAGCUUCUGGGAUUGGUUUCUUCUCGCUGAUGCUUCCCUUGGGGCAGGUUGUCCACAUGCAGAGUGGUCCAUCAGCACUUGGUAAGGGCUGAAUGUGCAGUGUGGUUACUGGAGUUGUAUGCAUGCUCAUUUGAUGUGUUCCUCCUGAACCAGUCAAAUGUUGCCAGAGAAAGGUACUAGAGGUACUCAGAACUUUAUGUGUAUGGUAUUAAAAAAUGUGCUUCCUUUUUAGUCU